GAACGACUCCAAAAUGGCGGAGAAAGAGCACAACUUGAGCUGGAUCGUCCACGAGGCCGUUGCCAAGAUCCUGAGCGACCGGAGCGCGAGGACCGCGAGACGGACUUUGGACGAGGUGCUGCGGACCAAGCGGGAGACCCAUCUCGUCUGGGGCUACCUUCUGGACGUCCUGGAGGAGGCCGCCACUGAGCUGCAGAGGAGCGUCGACGCCGAGCUGAACCAGGAGCUGCUCACGAGCCUGGAACAGAGAUUCAAGAGACAGACCGGCUCCUCCGCCCUCAACACCACCGGGCGCUUCACGACCCUGAACCAAACUCUCUCCUUCAGCGGCUGGAGCCGAUCCCGCAACGACUUCAGCAGAUUCUCUUGAGUCAAGGAUUCGACGCCCGAUCGAGCAUCGCAGACAUGGUGAGCUUCGUCGUGCAGAUCUUCCAAUCGUUCGCCGAUCGACUGAGGUCGGAGAUACCUGCGGUGGGAUCAGCCGCCUCCACGGAGACAACAAACUCUUCGACCGCCUUCUCCCGAACCUAGCCGUUCUUGCAGCGUCCCCACGUCAAAACGCGCGCAACACCCCACAGACCUCCGUGAACGACAUCCAGCGACUCAUCUCCAAGGGCAAGUCGGACGAACUGAGCGCCGUCUGGGAUGCGAUACUCAACUCUAACGAUUCCAGGGUCUUGAAACGCGUAAAGAGAGUAAGCACCCCUCAAAAAACCGGUGAAAAUUCCGUGGUCCCUCCCUCUGUCAAGACGAACAUGAUAGAUGAUACAAGGUAGCGAAGAAUAUCUCGAGGAGACAAAUCCCUUUGGUCUACAAGCCUGUUCCCAUCAUCAGCACGAUAACUGUAACCAGCGCCCCCUCGCGGAACGUUCCCGAAACUCCGGUCGAGAAGCUGCAAGCGGACACCAAUCAGAGCAGAGGCAGCCGAGUGGACGUCUUGGAGGUACAAGGGAAACCGAUGGGUAACGUUACCGUCACCUCUUCGCCUCAAGGGAGUGUCUCGUCGAACCAGACUGCCAAACCGGUUGUGGAGACGUCAGUGCCGAAGGCUAAGAGCGAUCCCGUUCGGGUCUCCGCCGCGACGAUUCCCAACGAUCUGAUCAGGAAGACAGAUGACAACCAAGCGAGCGCAGGACUGCCUGGGAGCACCCUAGGGACGCCGAAGGAUGUCCAAGGAGGCUCGGUUUCGGGGGCCAACACGAGCGUGAGUGACUCACCAAAAAUAUCGACAACGCCCGCGUUGACAAAUCCUCCGGCAAAAUUUGAGCUCCUGCAGCAGACGAGCUCGACAGUGUUGGCGAAAGUGGAGCCAUCGAACGCAGCAAAAUCACCUGUUCCAAACCACUCUGUUGAACCUUCGAUUACGCCUGCUCCGACGAUCACGAAGCCGGAAAUCAACAGCCCGCCAAAAUCCCAAGUUGCCACGAACGCAGUAAGUGACCCGGUCAAGGCAUCAGUCCCAGUGAGCCAACUUCCGGUCAUAAAUCCACCCGCAAAACCAGUUUUAAUUCCCGCUAUCCCUGCGACAAACAUUUCCACUCAGCCCGCAAUCACUUCCUCCAAUGAGCUACCUAAGUCUGUUGCUUUGCUAAAUACGUCAGUGCAACCGGUGAGCAUCAGUGAUCCGAUGAACGACUCUGCCAAAGCAGCCAACAGCUCGGCAGUCAAAUCUACUGUCAAUCCCAGUUCAACCGAUGCCGCCGUGAUGAAGUCUCCCACCGAAACCCAGAACACCGGAACCGGAAACCAAACCGCCGGAACCGGAAACCAAACCGCCGGAACCGGAAACCAAACCGCCGGAACCGGAAACCAAACCAUCGGCACCGGAAUCCAAACCGCCGGAACCGGAAGCCAAACCAACGGAACUCAACCUAGCUCAAUUGGGGCGUCCUCUCAAACCUUCCCACCAAGCAUUGCGAUUCAGUAUCUGAACAGCGGCGUGAGUUCAGAGACGAAGACUCUGCCAGGUGUCGUCGUCAGCAACGUGCCACCGGUGUCCGGCAAUGGAUCCAGCACUAUCGUCAACGUUUCGACGUUAGCCCUCACCAAUGUGACCGGUUUCAUGAAAGAGAUCCCAGACCAAGCAGCUGAGCUGACUCAAAGCUCCAAAUUUUCCGAUGCAAAUAUUUUGGAGCACAGCGACUAUUUCAACCGUGAUUCCAUCAAAUUUGCGGGAGACAUACGAACUGGAGGUAUUCAACAGUAUGCUGGAUUCGUGGUAGUUUGGUGGUACUGA
rnacentral:lncRNA from 1 species